GACCUCCAGCUAACUUUUUAACCCCUGGAUGGAUUUGGUUGAUUUUUGGUUAUGUUUAUGUUUUAAGUGUGCUGAUUCCAAAUAUGUAAUUAUGAAGAUGGGAUGUGUAGUUUUAAAGUUACAGGGUAUGGCUAAAAACCGUAUUUUUACUGCCUGUGUUUAAUUAUGUUAAUCUCUUCCCAAACGUCAUUUCGUUCAAAGUGGAGAGAAUGUUAAAAAAAAAUAUUUUUGUUCGGAGUGUGAGAAAUGCUUUUCAGCCGCUUCUAAUCUUAAGCAUCAUUUGAAGAGCCAUACAGGAGAGAAACCUUAUUUGUGGUGUGUUUAGUAUUGUUCUGAUCAGUUUAAUACCUUCCGCGUCUCCUAUCAGUGGACGUGUAUAUGGCAGCCAUUUUAGGAACCGUACACCUGGGACCCGAGCAAGGUCACCUCGUUCAACAGGCUUGCAGCUUAUCCUCCAGGAAGAAGAGCCUGAACCCUUACCGGCUGCACGUGUCUUACCUGUACAUGGAAAGCUGCUGUGGUUCCUUGAUGAGCCAGCUGCCCGUGAGUUAACAUGUCCCGUGGAGAAGCACUCUGUCC